ACAGAUGACCACACGCGACAGCUGAUCCGGUGGAGAGCCCGGAACAAUAAUCUGUUCACCGGACAGUGGAACGCUGCCCGCAAGGGUUUCGAAGCAUGUGCAAAAGAGAUGGGGGUGGAGGGGAUAGUCCCCGUCCUCACCCUGAAGAAGAGGUGGGAGAAUUUGAAGCAGAAGUACAAAGAGCUGAGGACCCCUAAAACAGGGGUCAGUACAGAGGGAGGGGAGAUGACAGCUGCUUCCUGGAAGUGAUACAAUUUAAUGGAUGUGGUGCUUGGGGCCAGCCACAUCAUCACCCCGCUGGCCCUGGCAUCUUCAUCCUCCCAGGGAGCAGCUGUCAUGUCCUUUCCCUCUCAAGAGCGAGUUGCUGCCUCUGCCUCCACCUCCUCUCCUGCCACUGGCUCUCCUCCCAGACCCAGUCCAGCACCUCCUCUCUUUCCUCCUUCUCCCACUCCUCCACCUCCUCUCCACCUGCCAAAAGACGCAGGAGACCACCACCGUGGAUGAGACUGUUUGAGCAGCUGGAGAGGAGGGACGAGGAAAGGGAGAGGGAAGCAGAAGAGAGAGAGGAGAGGCUGAUCAAUGAGAUGAGGGAAAGGGAGGAGAGAUUAGAGAGGGAGAGGAGCAGGCGAGGAGGGACAGGGAAAGCAGUGAUAGGGAUGAGCGGUUUGCGGGAGAAGCGGCUGCCUGUGAGGAGCGGUUCUUAAAUAUUUUGUCUAGAUUUCUGAAAUAAUGUUUAUGUUGGCAAGUUUGUUUGUUUGUUAUUUUUGCAUUUAAAGCCACUUUGUGUUAUUUAUUCAUCCAGUGAAACUGAAGAAUUUAUAU